UCCCUGCUCUUAGCACAGUUCAUUACGCGAUACCGACUGUAUCGUAUGCAUGACUGUGUUUAUGAAGCACUGCCAGAUAAGGAUGAUACCGUAUGUUCGAGAAAAGUCAGACUUUUCCAAACUAACUAACUCUCACUCCGGACAUCACGAAGUUGCUAAAGCAGAUACUCCGCCAUUACGAAUUCACUUCUAAACCCCUCGAUGUGGGAUUAGUCGUGACAAUAAUAAUGCUAUUUGUUCAUGGUAACAACUUUAUAUAUAACACACCGUUCAGUCCUAAAUGUGACUAAUAUCACAACCGCCAGAUCUCAUUUUCACACGGAAGUUGCCACAAAAUCCCUUCAAUGACAAGGACAUUGUUCACUUUUAUAUUAUUGCACAUAUGCCGCCUGCACAUUGAUGGCCACAACCAGGCAGUCUGUCAACCCACAUCGAGCUGGUCUUGGGAAGUCAACGGUGACCAUACGCUGUAAAGCUGAACACUGAACAGGAAUCAAGGUGACGAAAGUGGCAUUCCAGUUGAGACACAUCUGAUGUAAUGGGUGCCGUCAGUUGGUGGUUGAUGACAUGUCUGUUGGUUGGGUUCUACUGCAGUUCCAGUAAUGUUUUAGAGUGUCCAUCGGAAUGCAAGGACGGAUUGUCCAUGAGCCAGACUUCAAAAUUUCAGGUUUGAGUAUCAAA